rnacentral:tRNA from 1 species
GGAGAAAUACCCAAGUGGCUAUAAGGGGACCCCCUGCUAAGGGGUUAGUUCGGGGAUACCUGAAGCGCGAGUUCGAAUCUCGCUUUCUCCGCCA